rnacentral:rRNA from 1 species
CCUACGGGAGGCAGCAGUAGGGAAUUUUGCGCAAUGGGCGAAAGCCUGACGCAGCAACGCCGCGUGAUCGAGACGCCCUUCGGGGUUUAAAGAUCUGUCAGUGGGGACGAAACUUGACGGUACCCACAGAGGAAGCACCGUCUAACUCCGUGCCAGCAGCCGCGGUAAUACGGGGGGUGCAAGCGUUGUCCGGAAUCAUUGGGCGUAAAGCGUUCGUAGGCGGCACGUAAAGUCUGGUGUUAAAGGCAGAGGCUCAACUUCUGUACGGCAGUGGAUACUUGCGAGCUAGAGUGCGGUAGAGGGAAGGGGAAUUCGUGGUGUAGCGGUGAAAUGCUUAGAUAUCAGGAGGAACAUCGGUGGCGUAAGCGCUUUACUGGGCCGUAAUUGACGCUGAGGAACGAAAGCCAGGGUAGCAAAUGGGAUUAGAUACCCUGGUAGUC